rnacentral:tRNA from 1 species
GCCCGGUUAGCUCAGUCAGUAGAGCGUGGGACUUUUAAUCCUAAGGUCAUGGGUUCGACCCCCAUAUCGGGCG